UUGUCUUUUGAUACUUCUACACGUUUAUAUUUAAUAAAUACCGCCGUUUCCAUUCACCUACCGAAUUAUGUAAACUUGCAGAGCUCUAACCUCUAAAAAAACG
rnacentral:lncRNA from 1 species